GCCGGCCGUGCUGAGGAUGAAGACAUUCGCAAGAUAUGGAUUAAAAACGUACACCGAAAGGACUUUGCCCCCAAACAAGUAUUCAAUGGUGUGUGGAGUAUACUUCCCUGACGGCAGACCAACGCAGGAACACCCAUAUCCCAUAUUUAAUAUGGGAUAUGAAUAUAGUAAAGCACUAUCAUGUGGAAGACCACCCCCGAAGAGGAGAUGUCUCCAGCCCCCAACAGAGAGACUUGGAUUAAUGUUGAGAGGAUUAUUGUUCAAUACGGUGCAGAAACACUUGGUUCAGUUAUAUGUAUAUAUCAAUCAUCUUUCAAGAAAUCCUUCAUCCCCUCAGCUGUGACCAUACUGAACAAGAUAUGAACUGUCCAGCUGCAGCAUGAAUGUAUUGUGUGGUCGUCUUUUUUUUUUUUUUUUUGGUCAAGCCUUGUCUAAUGUCUGUGAGAAUCACUGAAGUCACGCCAAAGACAAUUUUCUGUUUCAUGGUUGUAACAGACAAUAAAGUUUUAUCUAAUCUCAUCAUAUCAAUGAGAAUCAGUGCACCUGACAAAGGUAUGACAUACUGUAUACUGUAGGCUUAAGUGCUAAAGGAAAAUGAAUUAACCUUAGCGGUUUUGAAUUGUUUAUUUACACAGUUAUUAAAAUGCAUACAGAUAGUGAAUGUAAUAUAGUUCAAUACUGUGUGCUUACUCGAUGGUGUUUUUUAUAUGUGCUGAACUGAAAAACAACCUAGCUACUUGUGCUCAAUACACUAAAUGACUCUUG